CCCUGCUCAAACCACAAUGAGAGUUGAUGAGAGUUGAGAAGCGAGAGUUUGCAUGAGAGUUGAUGAGAGUUGAGAAGCGAGAGUUUGCAUGAGAGUUGAUGAGAGUUGAGAAGCGAGAGUUUACAUGAGAGUUGAUGAGAGUUGAGAAGCGAGAGUUUGCAUGAGAGUUGAUGAGAGUUGAGAAGCGAGAGUUUACACGAGAGUUGAUGAGAGUUGAGAAGCGAGAGUUUGCAUGAGAGUUGAUGAGAGUUGAGAAGCGAGAGUUGAUGAGAGUUGAGAAGCGAGAGUUUGCAUGAGCGUUGAUGAGAGUUGAGAAGCGAGAGUUUGCAUGAGAGUUGAGAAGCGAGAGUUUGCAUGAGAGUUGAUGAGAGUUGAGAAGCGACAGUUUACAUGAGAGUUGAGAAGUGAGAGUUUGCAUGAGAGUUGAUGAGAGUUGAGAAGCGACAGUUUGCACGAGAGUUUUCUCAACGCUCAUGCCCCGGUCAAACGAGAACAAGAGUUGCAUGAGAG